AACGCACAUUGCGCCCGCCAGCACUCUGGCGGGCAUGCCUGUCCGAGCGUCACCUCGACCCUCGAGCGCCCCCGCCUUCGCGGGGGACGCCCGGCGUUGGGGGAACGGCGCGCGCCCACGGGCGCGGCCGCCCCCCGAAAUACAGUGGCGACCCCGCCGCGCCUCCCACUGCGUAGUAGCGACCCCCAGGGGAAACCUCGCACCGGGAGCGCGGAGGCCGCGGUCACGCCGUAAAACGCCCAACCCUUCUGAAGUUGACCUCGGAUCAGGUAGGAAUACCCGCUGAACUUAA
rnacentral:misc_RNA from 1 species